UACGAAGGGGGCUAGCGUUGCUCGGAAUCACUGGGCGUAAAGGGCGCGUAGGCGGGCUCUUAAGUCAGGGGUGAAAGCCCAAGGCUCAACCUUGGAAUUGCCUGUGAUACUGAGGGCCUUGAGACCGGAAGAGGUCGGCGGAACUGCGAGUGUAGAGGUGAAAUUCGUAGAUAUUCGCAAGAACACCAGUGGCGAAGGCGGCCGACUGGUCCGGUUCUGACGCUGAGGCGCGAAAGCGUGGGGAGCAAACAGG
rnacentral:rRNA from 1 species